rnacentral:rRNA from 1 species
UGGGGAAUUUUGGACAAUGGGGGAAACCCUGAUCCAGCCAUCCCGCGUGUGCGAUGAAGGCCUUCGGGUUGUAAAGCACUUUUGGCAGGAAAGAAACGUCGCGGGUUAAUACCCCGCGAAACUGACGGUACCUGCAGAAUAAGCACCGGCUAACUACGUGCCAGCAGCCGCGGUAAUACGUAGGGUGCAAGCGUUAAUCGGAAUUACUGGGCGUAAAGCGUGCGCAGGCGGUUCGGAAAGAAAGAUGUGAAAUCCCAGAGCUUAACUUUGGAACUGCAUUUUUAACUACCGGGCUAGAGUGUGUCAGAGGGAGGUGGAAUUCCGCGUGUAGCAGUGAAAUGCGUAGAUAUGCGGAGGAACACCGAUGGCGAAGGCAGCCUCCUGGGAUAACACUGACGCUCAUGCACGAAAGCGUGGGGAGCAAACAGGAUUAGAUACCCUGGUAGUCCAUGCCCU